UACGUAGGGUGCAAGCGUUGUCCGGAAUUAUUGGGCGUAAAGAGCUCGUAGGCGGUCUGUCACGUCGGCUGUGAAAUCCCGAGGCUCAACCUCGGGUCUGCAGUCGAUACGGGCAAACUAGAGUAUUGCAGGGGAGACUGGAAUUCCUGGUGUAGCGGUGAAAUGCGCAGAUAUCAGGAGGAACCCCGGUGGCGAAGGCGGGUCUCUGGGCAAUAACUGACGCUGAGACGCGAAAGCGUGGGGAGCGAACAGG
rnacentral:rRNA from 1 species